UACGCAGGGGGCAAGCGUUGUCCGGAUUUAUUGGGCGUAAAGAGCGUGUAGGCGGCCUGGAAGGUCAGCUGUGAAAACUCGAGGCUCAACCUCGAGACGUCGGUUGAAACCACCUGGCUAGAGUCCGGAAGAGGAGUGUGGAAUUCCCGGUGUAGCGGUGAAAUGCGCAGAUAUCGGGAAGAACACCCGUGGCGAAGGCGGCACUCUGGGACGGUACUGACGCUGAGACGCGAAAGCGUGGGGAGCGAACAGG
rnacentral:rRNA from 1 species